rnacentral:misc_RNA from 1 species
GUGAUGGGCGGCUUGGUCCUCAAAAGGCAGACCUCUUAAGCUAUGCAUGGGGACUGUUUCAAGAAAGGAAGACUUUGGAGCUGGUUGAUUCAAGCCUAGAAGACUAUGAUGCUGAUGAAGCAGUAAUGUGUAUUCAGUUAGGACUACUAUGCUGUCAAUCUACUGUUUCAGAUAGACCGGACAUGAACUCUGUUAAUCUCAGGCUUUCAAGUGAUUCAUUUACGUUACCAAAACCUGGGAAACCUGCAAUUCAAGGACGUGUGAGCAG